rnacentral:rRNA from 1 species
AACGAACGCUGGCGGCAUGCCUAACACAUGCAAGUCGAACGAGACCUUCGGGUCUAGUGGCGCACGGGUGCGUAACGCGUGGGAACCUGCCCCUAGGUUCGGAAUAACUCCCCGAAAGGGGUGCUAAUACCGGAUAAUGUCUUCGGACCAAAGAUUUAUCGCCUUUGGAUGGGCCCGCGUUGGAUUAGCUAGUUGGUAGGGUAAAAGCCUACCAAGGCGACGAUCCAUAGCUGGUCUGAGAGGAUGAUCAGCCACACUGGGACUGAGACACGGCCCAGAAUCCUACGGGAGGCAGCAGUGGGGAAUAUUGGACAAUGGGCGAAAGCCUGAUCCAGCAAUGCCGCGUGAGUGAUGAAGGCCUUAGGGUUGUAAAGCUCUUUUACCCGGGAUGAUAAUGACAGUACCGGGAGAAUAAGCUCCGGCUAACUCCGUG